UUUGGAGGAGUUAGAAAUUGUUGUUCAAAGUUAGGAUUUGUAUCAGUGAUUUGGGUUUUAUAUAAUAUAAUUAGGACUAGUAAUUUUGGCUAGUUCGUGCAAUUGGCAUGACAUCUACAGUUGAAAAUUUGAUAUUAUUUGGAUUAUUGGGUGUGCUAAGUGUAUACAAAAUUUUGUGAUAAUAUAACAGCGUGGUUUAGAGAUAUCUAGUUUUUAGCACAAGAGGGUUUCAGAAGGUAGCAGUUUGAGGUUGGAUAGGGUUUCUAUGAUAUCUAAAGAUCUAUUAGUCGGAUUGAGGUAAAAAUUGGCAUGGUUUUGGAAGACUUAAUGAUCAAGCUAUACAUAAAUUUUGAGACAAAGUUAACAGUUGGAGAAGGAGAAAUCAUUGCUGGGAUUUUUGCAUCACUUUUCAAGUUGGCAGCUAAGUGACAUUGGUGCAAUUUUUGGAAGUUUUCUCACAAUUUGUAAGUUUGAUUGGGCUAAAAAUUCUUAAGCAUUUAGAAGACUUGCAUUGAAAAUUGUGUGCAAAAUUCCACAUCAAGUGGAUAGUCGGAUUGGAUGUUACAACUUGUUUAAGCUCACUGAUUAGGAUUGGGAUUUACAAGAAAAAAUCUAAAUUCCUUAAAUAUGAAAUUAAAAAUAUAAUUGGGAUUUAUGUAUAGUUAAGACUACUAAGAAGAGUGUCUUAAGAACUUUUGAAUUGAAAUUCAGAUUAUAUUUUUCUCACGUGGAUGAAAUCUAUUAGGAUUUCUUGACUACUUGUCCAAUAUAAUCUCACCUUCCAUAGCUAAGUGCCUAGUGCAU
rnacentral:lncRNA from 1 species